GGUGGUUAUAGCGAUGGGGUCCCACCUCUUCCCAUUGAGAACAGAGCAGUUAAGCCCAUCUACGCCAAUGGUACUGCACCCCGUGUGUGGGAGAGUAGGUAGCCGCCU
rnacentral:rRNA from 1 species